GCGGCCGUACUCCCCAGGCGGAGUGCUUAAUGCGUUAGCUGCAGCACUAAAGGGCGGAAACCCUCUAACACUUAGCACUCAUCGUUUACGGCGUGGACUACCAGGGUAUCUAAUCCUGUUUGCUCCCCASCUUUCGCGCCUCAGCGUCAGUUACAGACCAGAAAGUCGCCUUCGCCACUGGUGUUCCUCCACAUCUCUACGCAUUUCACCGCUACACGUGGAAUUCCASUUUCCUCUUCUGUACUCAAGUCCCCCAGUUUCCAAUGACCCUCCACGGUUGAGCCGUGGGCUUUCACAUCAGACUUAAAGGACCGCCUGCGCGCGCUUUACGCCCAAUAAUUCCGGACAACGCUUGCCACCUACGUAUUACCGCGGCUGCUGGCACGUAGUUAGCCGUGGCUUUCUGGUUAGGUACCGUCAAGGUACCGGCAGUUACUCCGGUACUUGUUCUUCGCCUAACAACAGAACUUUACGACCCGAAAGCCUUCAUCGUUCGCGCGGCGUUGCUCCGUCAG
rnacentral:rRNA from 1 species